GGCGCGAUGGCAGAGCGGUCUAAUGCGAUAGACUAGAAUUGACCGAUUCUAUGUCAUCUAUUCUCUUCGGAGGCGCAGGUUCAAAUCCUGCUCGCGUCG